rnacentral:rRNA from 1 species
AGAACCUUACCUGGUCUUGACAUCCACGGAAGUUUUCAGAGAUGAGAAUGUGCCUUCGGGAACCGUGAGACAGGUGCUGCAUGGCUGUCGUCAGCUCGUGUUGUGAAAUGUUGGGUUAAGUCCCGCAACGAGCGCAACCCUUAUCCUUUGUUGCCAGCGAUUAGGUCGGGAACUCAAAGGAGACUGCCAGUGAUAAACUGGAGGAAGGUGGGGAUGACGUCAAGUCAUCAUGGCCCUUACGACCAGGGCUACACACGUGCUACAAUGGCGCAUACAAAGAGAAGCGACCUCGCGAGAGCAAGCGGACCUCAUAAAGUGCGUCGUAGUCCGGAUUGGAGUCUGCAACUCGACUCCAUGAAGUCGGAAUCGCUAGUAAUCGUGGAUCAGAAUGCCACGGUGAAUACGUUCCCGGGCCUUGUACACACCGCCCGUCACACCAUGGGAGUGGGUUGCAAAAGAAGUAGGUAGCUUAACCUUCGGGAGGGCGCUUACCACUUUGUGAUUCAUGACUGGGGUGAAGUCGUAACAAGGUAACCGUAGGGGAACCUGC